rnacentral:misc_RNA from 1 species
UUGUCAAUGCCUAUUGAUAUACUUCCUUUACUGAAAUGAUCAUCAGCUUGUUUUCAACAAGGAACACCAAGCGACGCCUGCUGCAUGUAUUUAUCAAUAACCUUUCAUAUAAAAUUAGCAAAUAAAAAAAAUAUAUAAUUGAAAUAAGUGUAGAAAGCUGUAAGUAAUAGAGACAUUCAGCCUCCACGAAGUGGUUCAUUGAUUACCUCUCGAGCUGAAGUAGAUCUGUCUUCUAUUCUCCACAAAGCUACUUGCUUCCCUGGUAACUGGACUAUCAGUCGUUAGAUAUGAGCGUCUCUUUAUAUGGGCAUAUUAAUAGCAAUUUGAGAAUUUCAAAUGAUAUUUAGUAUUUGACUUGACUCUUCCUUAUUGAUCAAUGACUAAUUGAGCUUAAUUUGGUCACUGUUUCGUUAAUGGAAUUGAUCAUUAAAGAUUCAAUCAACAACUCCUAAAAGAGGAGGGAGAUUGUAUAUUUUGUUAAAUUUUAGAGAUAAGCCUUUGUUUAUUU